GGCACAAGCGGUGGAGCAUGUGGUUUAAUUCGACGCAACGCGAAGAACUUACCUGGGCUAGACAACGUGGACUCCCCAGAGAUGGGGAUUCCCUUCGGGGACUGCCGGAUCAGGUGCUGCAUGGCUGUCGUCAGCUCGUGUCGUGAGAUGUUGGGUUAAGUCCCGCAACGAGCGCAACCCCCGCCUUUAGUUGCUACCAUUCAGUUGAGCACUCUAAAGGGACCGCCGGCGUUAAGCCGGAGGAAGGUGGGGAUGACGUCAAGUCCUCAUGGCCCUUAUGUCCAGGGCUACACACGUGCUACAAUGGGCGGUACAGAGGGUUGCCAACCCGCGAGGGGGAGCCAAUCCCAGAAAGCCGUCCUCAGUUCAGAUUGCAGGCUGCAACUCGCCUGCAUGAAGCUGGAGUUGCUAGUAAACGCGCGUCAGCUAUAGUGCGUUGAAUACGUUCUCGGGCCUU
rnacentral:rRNA from 1 species